rnacentral:rRNA from 1 species
CCUACGGGAGGCAGCAGUGGGGAAUAUUGGGCAAUGGGCGCAAGCCUGACCCAGCAACGCCGCGUGAAGGAAGAAGGCUUUCUGGUUGUAAACUUCUUUUCUCAGGGACGAAGACAGUGACGGUACCUGAGGACUAAGCCACGGCUAACUACGUGCCAGCAGCCGCGGUAAUACGUAGGUGGCAAGCGUUAUCCGGAUUUACUGGGUGUAAAGGGCGUGUAGGCGGGACUGCAAGUCAGAUGUGAAAACCACGGGCUCAAACUGUGGCCUGCAUUUGACACUGGAGUUCUUGAGUACUGGAGAGGCAGACGGAAUUCCUAGUGUAGCGGUGAAAUGCGUAGAUAUUAGGAGGAACACCAGUGGCGAAGGCGGUCUGCUGGACAGCAACUGACGCUGAGGCGCGAAAGCGUGGGGAGCAAACAGGAUUAGAUACCCGGGUAGUC